UUCACAUGUGCACACCUYUGGUCGCAAAUCCACACACACCUGUGCAUCUAYGACUCGAGGUUGUAAUGACUGAGAGUAACUUUUACACACUCUUGUAUGUAAUGGAAUGUCUUUUUGUGCUAUAAUGUACAAUAUAAACAACUUUCAACAACGGAUCUCUUGGCUCUCGCAUCGAUGAAGAACGCAGCGAAAUGCGAUAAGUAAUGUGAAUUGCAGAAUUCAGUGAAUCAUCGAAUCUUUGAACGCACCUUGCACCCUUUGGUAUUCCGAAGGGUACGCCCGUUUGAGUGUCAUUGUAAUCUCACUUCUACAACUUUAUUGUUGUUUGAAUGUGGACUUGGAUGUUGCCGUUUUAUCACGGCUCGUCUUAAAUGCCUGAGUGUACCCUGUUUUGCAGCGUAUCCAGUGUAAUAAACAUUUCACUAGAGUUGGUCGAAAGACCGCGUUGMCUAUAUGGGCUCUAUGCUUCAAACCGUCURCCAUGUGGACAAUUUCUUGACAAUUUGACCUCAAAUCGGGUGGGACUACCCGCUGAACUUAAGCAUAUCAAUAAGCGGAGGAAAAGAAACUAACAAGGAUUCCCCUAGUAACGGCGAGUGAAGAGGGAAAAGCUCAAAUUUUAAAUCUGGUGUCUUUGACUCCCGAGUUGUAAUCUAGAGAAGUGUUUUCCGUGUCGGACCGUGUACAAGUUCCCUGGAACGGGGCGUCAUAGAGGGUGAGAAUCCCGUAUAUGCCACGGACUACCGAUGCUCUGUGAUACACUCUCAACGAGUCGAGUUGUUUGGGAAUGCAGCUCAAAAUGGGUGGUAAAUUCCAUCUAAAGCUAAAUAUUGGCGAGAGACCGAUAGCGAACAAGUACCGUGAGGGAAAGAUGAAAAGCACUUUGGAAAGAGAGUGAAACAGUACGUGAAAUUGUUGAAAGGGAAGCGUUUGAAGUCAGUCGCAUCUGUUGGGGUUCAGCCUGGCUUUUGCCUGGUGUAUUUCCUUUCCGAUGGGUCAGCAUCAGUUUCGACCGAGGGAAAAAGACAUUUGGAAUGUGGCUGUCUUCGGGCAGUGUUAUAGCCUUGUGUUGUAUGUCUCGGUUGGGACUGAGGAUUGCAGCGCGCCAUAAAUGGCCGGGGGUCGCUCCUCUCGACACGCGCUUAGGAUGCUGGCAUAAUGGCUUUAAGCGACCCGUCUUG
rnacentral:rRNA from 1 species